rnacentral:snRNA from 1 species
GCUCACUUUGGUAGCACAUACACUAAAACUGUACAGAGAAGAUUAAUGUGGCCCCUGUACAAGGAUGACAUGCAAAUUGGUGAGGCAUUCCAUAUUUUC